CCUUGACCUCAAAUCGGGUGAGACUACCCGCUGAACUUAAGCAUAUCAAUAAGCGGANGAAAAGAAACUAACAAGGAUUCCCCUAGUAACUGCGAGUGAAGCGGGAAAAGCUCAAAUUUAAAAUCUGGCGGUCUUUGGCCGUCCNAGUUGUAAUUUAGAGAA
rnacentral:rRNA from 1 species